GCAUAUCAAUAAGCGGAGGAAAAGAAACCAACAGGGAUUGCCCUAGUAACGGCGAGUGAAGCGGCAACAGCUCAAAUUUGAAAUCUGGCCUCGGCCCGAGUUGUAAUUUGCAGAGGAAGCUUUGGGCGCGGCACCGACCGAGUCCCCUGGAACGGGGCGCCAUAGAGGGUGAGAGCCCCGUAUGGUCGGACGCCUAGCCUGUGUAAAGCUCCUUCGACGAGUCGAGUAGUUUGGGAAUGCUGCUCAAAAUGGGAGGUAAAUUUCUUCUAAAGCUAAAUACCGGCCAGAGACCGAUAGCGCACAAGUAGAGUGAUCGAAAGAUGAAAAGCACUUUGAAAAGAGGGUUAAAUAGCACGUGAAAUUGUUGAAAGGGAAGCGCUUGUGACCAGACUUGCGCCCGGCUGAUCAUCCGGUGUUCUCACCGGUGCACUCUGCCGGGCUCAGGCCAGCAUCGGUUCUCGCGGGGGGACAAAGGCCCUGGGAACGUAGCUCCUCCGGGAGUGUUAUAGCCCUGGGUGCAAUGCCCUCGCGGGGACCGAGGUUCGCGCAUCUGCAAGGAUGCUGGCGUAAUGGUCACCAGCGACCCGUCUUGAAACACGGACC
rnacentral:rRNA from 1 species